AAAGUCGUAACAAGGUUUCCGUAGGUGAACCUGCGGAAGGAUCAUUAAUAUUCACGUUUUUGUUCUAAACAAACAAAUAAACGUAAAUAAACCAUUCAAACUUAAUUGUGGAAUCUUUAAAAUUUACGGAUGCAUGUAUUAUGCGAUGUAAUCCUUCUUUUCUGAAGAGGGAUGAAAAUAAAGGGACUUCAAACAUAUUUCGGUAUGUUUGACACUUCAGAUUUGUAGAGCAGUGAAGUGCGACCAGGUUCUGAAAAACUGCAUAAUGUAUCCGGUUAACCCUUCUGUUCUACUAUUUUUCUAUCAAACUUUAUAAACCCCAUGUUUAACAACCUGAACUAAACCAUUUUUAUUUUCUAGUCUUCGGACUGUGAGAUAAAAACAAAUCUGAAAUUAAGAACAACUCUUAACAACGGAUAUCUUGGUUCUC
rnacentral:misc_RNA from 1 species